GACGAACGCUGGCGGCGUGCUUAACACAUGCAAGUCGAACGGAAAGGCCCUGCUUGCAGGGUACUCGAGUGGCGAACGGGUGAGUAACACGUGGGUGAUCUGCCCUGCACUUCGGGAUAAGCCUGGGAAACUGGGUCUAAUACCGGAUAGGAGCCAUUUUUAGUGUGAUGGUUGGAAAGUUUUUUCGGUGUAGGAUGAGCUCGCGGCCUAUCAGCUUGUUGGUGGGGUAAUGGCCUACCAAGGCGGCGACGGGUAGCCGGCCUGAGAGGGUGGACGGCCACAUUGGGACUGAGAUACGGCCCAGACUCCGACGGGAGGCAGCAGUGGGGAAUAUUGCACAAGGGGCGCAAGCCGGAUGCAGCGACGCCGCGUGGGGGAUGACGGCCUUCGGGUUGUAAACUCCUUUCGCUAGGGACGAAGCUUUUUGUGACGGUACCUAGAUAAGAAGCACCGGCUAACUACGUG
rnacentral:rRNA from 1 species